UCACGUCUCGCUGCUCUCUUGUUGGCCAAUCUUCCAGAGAUUUGAAGUAUGGUUUCAAUUUGAUUUAACAUUUGAACAGUUUAUGCCAGCAACUUACAGUUUGUUUGGAUUGGGAAGCUCCCAGGCAUGGCUUCCUUGCGAUCGUGAAAGAAAGAAUGUUUUGAAUUGUUUUCCCUGAUAGCCAAGGCCUCAAAGAACAGCUUUCAAAAGGAUUUUUGCAGAAACCCGUGGUCCUUCUUAUUCCCACCACUCACCGCGACACGAAGUCUGACCCCCGCAAACGUGCCAUUGAUCAACGGAGCCCGAGGCGACAGCGGCACCAGGUUCCGCGGCAGAGG
rnacentral:lncRNA from 1 species